CCUACGGGAGGCAGCAGUGAGGAAUAUUGGUCAAUGGCCGAGAGUCUGAACCAGCCAAGUAGCGUGAAGGAUGACUGCCCUAUGGGUUGUAAACCUCUUUUGUCGGGGAACAAAGGCGUCCACGGGUGGGCGGAUGAGUGUACCCGAAGAAAAAGCAUCGGCUAACUCCGUGCCAGCAGCCGCGGUAAUACGGAGGAUGCGAGCGUUGUCCGGAUUUAUUGGGUUGAAAGGGUGCGUAGGCGGACAGUAAAGUCAGCGGUAAAAAUGCGGUGCUCAACGCCGUACAGCCGUUGAAACUGGGAGUCUUGAGUGGGCGAGAAGUAUGCGGAAUGCGUGGUGUAGCGGUGAAAUGCAUAGAUAUCACGCAGAACUCCGAUUGCGAAGGCAGCAUACCGGCGCCCUACUGACGCUGAGGCACGAAAGCGUGGGUAUCGAACAGGAUUAGAUACCCUAGUAGUC
rnacentral:rRNA from 1 species